rnacentral:rRNA from 1 species
GAUGAACGCUGGCGGCGUGCCUAAUACAUGCAAGUCGAGCGAAUGGAUUAAGAGCUUGCUCUUAUGAAGUUAGCGGCGGACGGGUGAGUAACACGUGGGUAACCUGCCCAUAAGACUGGGAUAACUCCGGGAAACCGGGGCUGAUACCGGAUAACAUUUUGAACCGCAUGGUUCGAAAUUGAAAGGCGGCUUCGGCUGUCACUUAUGGAUGGACCCGCGUCGCAUUAGCUAGUUGGUGAGGUAACGGCUCACCAAGGCAACGAUGCGUAGCCGACCGGAGAGGGUGAUCGGCCACACUGGGACUGAGACACGGCCCAGACUCCUACGGGAGGCAGCAGUAGGGAAUCUUCCGCAAUGGACGAAAGUCUGACGGAGCAACGCCGCGUGAGUGAUGAAGGCUUUCGGGUCGUACAACUCUGUUGUUAGGGAAGAACAAGUGCUAGUUGAAUAAGCUGGCACCUUGACGGUACCUAACCAGAAAGCCACGGCUAACUACGUGCCAGCCGCCGCAGUAA